UCGUUAAUUGUAAUGUAAACAUUACAAAAUGUAAAAUGGAUAAUUUUAAUUAUAUUAAAUUAAAAAACUUUUGCACAAACAAAACCAAAGAACCAAAAUUAAAAGAAAAACAAAAUUAGGAAUCAAUCUUAACAGCAAGUGUCUCUGAUAAAGGCUUCAUUUCUCAAAUGUAUAGAGAACUGAGCAAAAUUCAUAAGUAUACAAGUCACUGGGAAGCUAGGUGGCACAGUAGACAGAACUAGAGCCCUGAAGUCAGAAAGACCUGACUUCAAAUCUGGCCUUAGACACUUAACACUUCCUAGCUGUAUGACUCUAGGCAAGUCACUUAACCCCAAUUGCCUAAGGGGAAACAAAACAAAACAAGUCAUUCCCCAAUUGAUAAAUUGUCAAAGAUAUGAAGAGGCAGUUUUCAAAUGAAGAAACCAAAAACAUAUAAAGUGCUCUAAAUCAAAGCUUCUUAAACUAUGGGUCAUGACCCCACAUGGGAUGUUGUAUCUGAAUGUGGGCAUCACAAAAAAAUCAGCAACAGUAAAAGGUAUCAAAUAUUUCAAUAUAUAUUUCUUUAUAUAAAAAAACAAACACAUCCAUCUCAUUAGUAUGCAAAUUCAGUUUCAUCUUUAAUAAAUUAUGUAUAUACUCCCCUUCUCCCCCGCAAAAAAAGAAGUUAAUAUCUGAACUGGACCUUGAAAAAUGGGCAAACUUUAACAAAGUCAGAGAUAGUGGUGGGAGUAGAAAAGAGGCCAUUCCACAAAUCAGGAUGACAUGAGAAAUUCUUUCUCUUUGUAUCUGCUUGUCUCUGAUUAGUUAAUUGGAUUGGGAAAGGGGUCUUGCACCCAAUCCAUCCCACAUAGUUUAUGGGGGCUCGUCUAUCUGGCUUCCCAGAGACAGCUGGUGGGACCCCAAUUUAAGGUAGGUGCCAGAUUGGUUUCUCCAACCGACCUUGAGAUCAGACUCUCAGCCUCCCUCUCUCUGUGAAGAAUGGGCCUAGGGAGAAAAGACACUCAGAUACAAACAGAAGGCACACAAGUCUUCGAAGACAAAGCCGGGUGAGAGUGUGUCAGUUAACUUAUGCAUGUGUGAUCCCAGAGGCACUAUCUGUUAAUGUGUCUAUCCUUGUGGGCCCCAGGAUCAUCAAGUCUAGGGUAAUCCAGAUUAAGGGAUUCUGUUAACAGCACAGGAUGGGGGCAUUCUAUGGUUGGCUACGAAGGUAGGCAACUCCUUCUGAGCCUGGUCUGCCAAGCCACCCUGGGGAGGUUGGCCGUCCAUUUUGCUGGAGACCAUUGGAGUGGAUGCUCUGAGAGAGGGCAGUGCAACUCAAAUCUUUGGAGCAAAAAGGAAAAAAAGAAAAGUGCACUUGGGUAUUUUUCUUGUAUGUGGGAAACUGGGGAAGAGAUGGUCUCUUCCAUGUGAUUUUUGUCUGUGUGUGUCUUUGUGCAGAAUGUUUUCGUCAUGUUUGCUCUGUGAACUAGAAUUUGUUAGGAAAAAAAGAGAAAGGCUUUCAUAUAGGCUCUAACUCUGGCCAAAGUUGGAGCUUUAGGAAAGUCCAUCAGGAAUAAUGGUUAGGGAACUUGGCAAUUGGUCAUUUCAAAAUUCCAAAGAAAUUCAAUUAAAAUGGGGAGGAUUCUGAAGAAAGAGUGAAGAUGGUAGUUUCUUUCUUUUCCUUCCCUUGUUUCCUGACUGCAGCAGGGGCCACUUGGGGCCAGAAGGAGAGAAAGAAAUUAUGUUGUUUAGUGAAAUUCAUUAUUUGAAAUAUGAUAGCAAAAACAGUUUUAUAUUAUUGGGAAUUUAAAACUGUAUUUGAAUGGAUUUUAAGUUAAAAUAUAGGUUAUUAAAACAAAAUGCUGGUAGCUUACCUUAGGGGAGGUCGUGGUUGUAUCUCCCUACUUAGAUGGUAUGUUGCUUUUGGUGUAUUUGAGAGAGAAUUUGUAUAAAGAAUAAUUUGUAAACUAUGAGUUAUGCCUUAAAAAUUUGUCAACUCUGUUAGGUAUAUUUAUAAGUUUUAUGAAAUUUGGUUCAAAGUUACUUGCGAAUCUUGAAGUUUAAAGUUAAAAAAAAUUGAUUUAAAGACAAGGGACAAGAGAGAUUGAUUUGCAAAAGCAAUUAAUAGUUUAAAUGGAGCAUCUAGUCAGAAGGGUUAUUGGUUUGAAGUGUUUAAAGUAUGUUGGAGAAGGUUUGAGCAAGUAAACAUUGGGAGAAGAUAGAGAUGGGGCAGGAAGAGAUGGUGUGAGAGAAGGAGAGAGAGGAAAAUAGCUUUCCAGAAAUGGGGAACAAAAAGGCACAAAUUCCUAGUGAAUUUGCAAUUUGCCAUGGGAAAGGAGAUACCCCAUGAGAUUGGGGCCUGUCUUUAGCUAGCAGAUUGGGUCCUGAGGGAAAUGGCACCCAAAAAAGGUCAGCUGUGAGAAGUUAGGGUGGGGAAGCAUGGAGGAGUAGGGGAGGGGCGACCCUGUAGAAAGGGACCUUGUCAGGUGCUCUAAUUCCCCCUCCUCCCCAUUAAGUAUGGUAGCUUUUUUUUUUUUUUUUAAAACAAACUGCAGCUCAUUGCUGGUUGAAACAUUAAUUGCUUAUACUGUUUAAAGGAACAAAGAACAGCCUACAUUUUACAUGGUGUUAAUAACUGAAUGUUUUAUUUUUAUUUUUCAAGUCUAGCUGCUCUAAGAAGUUUGUUGGAACUUAAGUUUUCUGAAAGCAAUUUAGUUCUACUAAUAUAUCCCAUCUGUUUUCAGCAAAUUAUUUAAUGUUUAAGUGCAUAAUAAUAAUAAUAAUAAAAAAACUAGAGCAGAAUUUUAAUCUGAUCUGAUAAUUUGAUAGGAUUAUUUCCAAAAGUUUAAUUCUUUUUUUUAGAAUGAAGAGAGUAUCAAUGUUAAAUCAGAAAGUUUCUUUUAUGUGGAAACGAGAUGGACAAUAUGCAAUUUAGAUUUUUUCUCUGUAUUGGGUAUUUUUAAAGCAAAAUUAUCUGUGUAAAGGUGAACUUAGAACCAUCUACUUAGAUAUGAAAAAUAAACUGUAUAAGCUGUGAACUUUCUAGGAUUAAUCUUUUACUGUGAUCCUUGAAAGUUACAUUCAUCUGAAGCUUUGAUUAAUGAUAAUUGCUGCAGGAGAUAAAAUUUUUUGGGACUGCAGCAGAUAUUUGGAGUUUUGAAUUCAGGUCUGACUGUCUGCAUGUAUCAUCAAAUUCCACCAUCUGAAAUGAAUAUGCCACAAGCUAUGCAGAGGAGGCUAUUACAGGUGGAAGGUGUCAUUUGGGAAUGAAUUGGGAGGACUAUCUGGUCUCAACUGAGAUAGAAUCCUUCUGACUCAAUUUCCUAGUGGUCUUCUUUUGAAUGAGAACCCACUUGAUUAUUCCCGAUUCUGCUUUAAGGUGGGAUGGUUAAAAAAAAAAAAAUUAGGACAGUUAACUGAAAUAAAACUGCCUUUAAUAAAUUAUGUCCCUGAUUUUUCCUCCUAACAGCAAAUGUCAGUAAUCAGAGCCAAGUGAUCAGUGAGCUACAAAAUACAAGUACGUAGAUAUUUUAAUUUGCAGUCCAGCCUCGGAGGACUUUUUGGUUGCUGCUAUUAUAUCUUUUAACCCUUUUGCUUUCUGGGGCUAAAGUUUCUUUAUCUAAAGGCUUACUUCACCCAAGUACUUGGGGCCACUCCCACUUUGCCUUUUGUUCUUUGGGAGAAAUCUGGGAAUCUCAUCAUGCCCAGAUUAGGCUAAGUUUUUUUUAAAGGACCCUAAAAGUUAAACUAAUCUGCCUAAAGUCUUUUACACUGUGUGUUGAUGGAAAGUGGGGCUAGGUCCUUGGGGUCUCUGGAACCCCAAUCCUAGAUUCCUGACUUAUUUAUCAAAGAUCCAUACUAUCUUCAAAUGCGUUUUUCAUGUUUUGCAUGAUCGUGGGGAGCUAUAUUGAAAGAGAACUUUUGACACCCAAACAAUUCCCCAUUAAAUAUGUAGAGAAAAUGAUUCCUGAUAGCUAUCCAUGGACCCAGAGAGAUUUCUGUUGUUUCUUAAGUGAAGGGGAAUUCACUCCAGGUAAAGGAAAACAGGCUCAUAGAUCAGCUGCCCAUGUUGCUGAUCAUUUGCCCCUGACUAUGGCAACUUUAAUUCCCUGACUCCUGCAUUCCCUCAUAUAGCUCCCAAGCAAGUAAAUUCUGAAAAGGCCUUGCACAUGUGCCCCUUGCAGGGACUUCAAGGGGCUUUGUUUUGUUAACACCUAUUAAAAAAAAAAAAAAAACAAAAACCUUGGGUAAAAACCUUCCCUUAUAAGGUUCUACCGUUUUUGUGGGAGAGAUCAUACUCACUGAAGGGCACAUGUUCUAUCUAUUGCAUCUACUCCUUUGAGGGAGGCAAGAUUUUGGGGAAAACAUUUUUUGGUAUCUAUCCUAGGAAAGCUGUUAGGAUGAGAGGCAUUUCUGAUAGCCUCAUUCUCUCUGCCAACCUUCUUCUGGGUGGGGUUCCUAGUUACUGUCCUUAGUAACGUCUUUAUUAACUCUACCUUUGUUUAUUCUUUCUCUUUUACUCAUAUUUAGUCCUUGAAUUUUAGUAUACUUGUGAGAGUUGCUUCUUUCAGACUCUGAGCCAUGAAAUUCCAAUUACUUGGUCAUCCUGAAAAUCACUGAGACUCGAUUCUGACAUUCAGGACCAGACAUUGAUGCAGCAAAUGCCCCCGACUACAACUCACUUCUCUUCCCUUUUCAGUCAGGAUCCCGCUGGGUAGAGUCAGCUCUACGCCCCUGGUCAGCCUAAAGCAGCUCCAGAAGAUGAGACCUUCGUCCUUUUGUCCCAAAUGAGGCUGGACUAUUUGAGGAAAAUUAUUCAGAAGGAUGAAGCUAGAAAGAUGCAGCAAGACCACCACUGAAUGAAAUCCAGCCUAAGAAGUUAGGCAAUAAAAGCCACUGGAUGUUUUUGAAAAGGAGAAUGACAUAAAAAUACAGAUUAAUAGCUGGAAGAAAAUUUAUGUGAUCAUCAACUACAAAGCCCUCAGUUUAAAGACAAGGAAACUUGACUGACAAAUGAUUUGUGGAAAAGGUAGAAUUUCAAACCUAGGCUCUCUUCAAACCAGUGCUCUUGCUCACAGCUUUCCAUUAAAAAAUUAAUCUAGUAAAGGCCUCAUUUCUAAAAUAUAUAGAAAAUUGACUCAAAUUAAAACCAUUUCUAGUCAUAUAAAAAAAUGUUCUAAAUCAUUAUUGAUUAGAGAAAUGCAAAUCUAAACUGAGGUACCACUUCCCAUCUGUUGAUUAGCUAAGAUGAUAAAUACUGGAGGGGAUGGGGGAAAACUGGAACACUUGUUGAUGGAAUUGUGAACUUAUCCAACCAUUUUGGAGAGUGAUUUGGAACUAUGCCCAAAGGGCUAUAAAACUAUGCAUAUCUUUGAUUCAGCAGCAUGUCUACUGGUCUAUAUGCUAAAAAAAUCAUAAAAAAGGGGAAAAGGACCCACAUGUGCGAAAAUGUUUGUAACAGCUCUUUUUGUAGGGACAAGGAACUGGAAACUGACUGAAUGCCCAUCAGUUGGAGAAUGACUGAAUAAGUCAUGGUAUAUGAAUGUUAUGGAAUGUUAUCAUUCUAUAAGAAAUGAUCAGGAUUAAAGGUCUCAUUUCCAAAAUAUAUAGAGAACUGACUCAAAUUUAUAAAAAAUCAAGCCAUUCUCCAACUGAUAAAUGGUCAAAGGAUAUGAACAGACAAUUUUCAGAUGAUGAAAUUGAAACUAUUACCACUCACAUGAAAGAGUGUUCCAAAUCACUAUUGAUCAGAGAAAUGCAAAUUAAGACAACUCUGAGAUAUCACUACACACCUGUCAGAUUGGCUAAGAUGACAGGAAAAAAUAAUGAUGAAUGUUGGAGGGGAUGUGGGAAAACGGGGACACUGAUGCAUUGUUGGUGGAGUUGUGAACGAAUCCAACCAUUCUGGAGAGCAAUCUGGAAUUAUGCCCAAAAAGUUAUCAAAACUGUGCAUAUCCUUUGAUCCAGCAGUGUUUCUAUUGGGCUUAUAUCCCAAAGAAAUACUAAAGAAGGGAAAGGGACCUGUAUGUGCCAAAAUGUUUGUAGCAACCUUGUUUGUAGUGGCUAGAAACUGGAAAAUGAAUGGAUGCCCAUCAAUUGGAGAAUGGCUGGGUAAAUUGUGGUAUAUGAAUGUUAUGGAAUAUUAUUGCUCUGUAAGGAAUGACCAGCAGGAUGAAUACAGAGAGGCUUGGAGAGACUUACAUGAACUGAUGCUAAGUGAAAUGAGCAGAACCAGGAGAUCAUUAUACACUUCGACAACGAUAUUGUAUGAGGAUGUAUUCUGAUGGAAGUGGAUUUCUAUGACAAAGAGACCUAACUGAGUUUCAAUGGAUAAAUGAUGGACAGAAACAGCUACAGCUACACCCAAAGAAGGAACACUGGGAAACGAAUGUGAACUAUUUGCAUUUUUGAUUUUCUUCCCGAGUUAUUUUUACCUUCUGAAUCCAAUUCUCCCUGUGCAACAGGAGAACUGUUCGGUUCUGCAAAUAUGUAUUGUAUCUAGGAUAUACUGCAACAUAUUUAACAUAUAUAGGACUGCUUGUCAUCUUGGGGGGGGAGGGUAGAGGGAGGAAGGAGAAAAAACGAAACAUAAGCGAGUGCAAGGGAUAAUGUUGUAAAAAAUUACCCUGGCAUGGAUUCUGUCAAUACAAAGUUAUUAUUAAAUAAAAUAAAAUUUAAAUUAAAAAAAAAUGAUCAGGAUUGUUAUGGGCCAGAACUUUGAAGUUGAAACAAGGAUGCUUACAAGGUACUAAGUGGAAUUGAUGAGACAAUGGUUAUUUAGUUUAGCAUGGUUCAGUAUGAUUGAUUUAAUCUUACAACAAAUGAUGGUUUCCUAUUGAUAGAACGAUUGGUCUAUACUCAGUGUAGAGCAUAUAAGCUGAGACUCAGAAAGCCCUCAGAUUCAGAGGCAGAGAAGACAAGAGAACUGGAGGUAGGAAUUUAAGAUCUCAGAGGUUCGGAGAGAGAGCUAGAGAAGACAAGUGUACUUGGCUCUCGGAGCCAAGGAGAAAGAAAUUCAUUUCAUCUUCAGUCGGCUCCUGGUGGCUGGCCUGGCCUCCUUGCACUUCCCCCACUGAGACCAAGGUGCAUCUGAAAGGCUCUCCAGAAAGCUGCCCAGCCCCUGGAUGGAGAUAAUAAAGGAUCUGGACUUUAACCCCUGGCUACUCUUGUGGUGAUUACUCAGAUUGAAAUGAAAGCUGCCUCCAGAGACCCCAAGAAAACUAAACCAGAGAACAUUACAGAGGAUGAUUUUAGAGACGCCUGGAGAGACUUACAUGAAUUGAUGCUAAGUGAAAUGAGCAGAACCAGGAGAUCACUGUACAUGGCAAAAAUAAGAUUAUAUAAUGAUCAAUACUGAUGGCCAUGGUUUUUUCCAACAAUAAGAUGAUUCAGGCCAAUUCCAAUAGACUUGUGAUGAAGAGAGCUAUGUCUAUCUGCAUCUACAAAGAGAACUAUAGGGACUGAAUGGGAAUAACAGCAUACUUUCACCUUUUUUGUUUGCUUGCUUUUUAUUUUCUUUCUCUUUUUUUUCCUUUGAUUUGAUUCUUCCUAUGCAGCAUGAUGAUUGUACACAUGUUUAAGAUAUUGGAUUUCAACCAUUCUGGAGAGCAUUUUGGAACUAUGCUCAAAAAGCUAUCAAACUUGUGCACACCCUUUGAUCCAGCAGUGUUUCUACUGGGCUUAUAUGCCAAAGAGAUAUUAAAGAAGGAAAGGGAUGCACAGGUGCAAAACGUUUGUGUCAGCCCUUUUUGUAAUGGCUAGAACUGGAAAUUCAAUGGAUGGCCAUCUGUUGGGGAAUGGUUGAAUAAGUAAUGAUAUAUGAAUGUUAUGGAAUAUUAUUGUUCUAUAAGAAAUGACCAACAGGAUGAUUUCAGAGAGGCCUGAAGAGACUUACAUGAAGUGAUGCUGAGUGAAAUGAGCAGAACCAGGAGCUCAUUAUACACCACAACAAGAACACUAUACAACAAUCAAUUCUGAUGGAUGUGGCUCUCUUCAACAAUGAGUUGAUUCAAACCAGUUCCAAUUGUUCAGUAAUGAAGAGAGCCUUCUACACCCAGAAAGAGAACUGUGGGAACUGAGUGUAGACCACAACGUAGCAUUUCCACUCUUUCUGUUAUUGUUUGCUUGCAUUUUUCUUUUCCUUCUCAGGGUUUUUUUUUCUUUCUAGAUUCAAAUUUUCUUGUGCAGAAAGAUAACUGUAUAAAUAUGUAUACAUAUACUGGAUUUAACAUAUAAUUUAACAUAUUUAGCAUGUAUUAGACUACCUGCCAUCUAGGAGAGGGGGUGGGAGUAAGGAGGGGAAAAUUUGGAACAGAAGGUUUUAUAAGAGUCAAUGUUGAAAAAAAUUACCCAUGCAUAUGUUUUGUACAUAAAAAGAUUUUGUACAUUAAAAAAAUAUAUAUAUCAGAUUAUCUGCUGUCUAAGGGAGGGGUUGGGGGGAAGAGAGGGAGAAAAAAUUUGGAACACAAGGUUCUGCAAAGGGUGAAUGUUGAAAACUAUUUUUGCAUAUAUCUUGAAAAUAAAAAGCUAUUCAAAAAAAUAUGGGUGAAGGGUGCUAAAACAAGGCACAGGUAUUAGCUGAUGGGUUUUCUUUUUGUUAUUCUAAUCUUGAUAAACGUCAACCAAAAAAAGCAUUUCCAUUUACACAGAAAAUAAAAAUGAGGUUUAUACCUGAAACUACAAA